rnacentral:tRNA from 1 species
GAAGAUUUAAGUUAAUAAAACUUUGAGCCUUCAAAGCUCACCACACAAAUCAAAAUUUUGUAAUCUUUG